rnacentral:rRNA from 1 species
ACCCCACUGCUAUCGGGAUGGGACUAAGACAUGCUAGUCGCGCGCUUCCCAGCUAUGUGGGAGGAGCGGCGUACAGCUCAGUAACACGUGGCUAACCUGCCCUUGGGACGGGAACACCCCCGGGAAACUGGGGCUAAUUCUCGAUAGGUGAAGAACUCUGGAAUGAGUCUUCGCCCAAAAGCCAUUUGGAUCAUGCUUCCAGGGGGCGCCCAAGGAUGGGGCCGCGACCGAUCAGGUUGUUGGUGAGGUAAUGGCCCACCAAGCCUAUAACCGGUGCGGGCCGUGAGAGCGGGAGCCCGGAGAUGGGCACUGAGACAAGGGCCCAGGUCCUACGGGGCGCAGCAGUCGCGAAAACUUUGCAAUACACGAAAGUGUGACAGGGUCAUCCCGAGUGCCGACCGCUGAGGUUGGCUUUUACCCAGUCUAGAAAGCUGGGGGAAUAAGGAGAGGGCAAGUCUGGUGUCAGCCGCCGCGGUAAUACCAGCUCUCCGAGUGGUGUGGACGUUUAUUGGGCCUAAAGCAUCCGUAGCUGGCUAAGUUAGUCCCUUGUUAAAUCCACCGAAUUAAUCGUUGGAUUGCGGGGGAUACUGCUUGGCUAGGGGACGAGAGAGGCAGACGGUAUUUCCGGGGUAGGGGUGAAAUCCUAUAAUCCCGGGAAGACCACCAGUGGCGAAGGCUGUCUGCUAGAACGCGCCCGACGGUGAGGGAUGAAAGCUGGGGGAGCGAACCGGAUUAGAUACCCGGGUAGUCCCAGCUGUAAACGAUGCAGGCUAGGUGUUUGGACGGCCACGUGCCGUUCUAGUGCCGCAGGGAAGMUGUUAAGCCUGCCGCCUGGGGAGUACGAUCGCAAGAUUGAAACUUAAAGGAAU